CUAUAAAAAUAAAAGGAAACCCUUGGGGCCCUGGUGUGCAAUGGUUGCAAACAGCAGCCUCCUUGGUAGUGUACGCAGCCUGUUACCUGUACGGGUUGCCCUAAGGGACCUUGGAGACAAUU
rnacentral:snoRNA from 1 species